UACAGAGGGUGCGAGCGUUAAUCGGAAUUACUGGGCGUAAAGCGCACGUAGGUGGAUAUUUAAGUUGGAUGUGAAAGCCCCGGGCUUAACCUGGGAGGGUCAUCUGAAACUGGAUAUCUUGAGUACAGUAGAGGGAAGUGGAAUUUCCGGUGUAGCGGUGAAAUGCGUAGAUAUCGGAAAGAACACCAGUGGCGAAGGCGACUUUCUGGACUGAUACUGACACUGAGGUGCGAAAGCGUGGGUAGCGAACAGG
rnacentral:rRNA from 1 species